rnacentral:rRNA from 1 species
CCCAUUGAUUGAUGGUGCUUGCACCUGAUUGAUUUUCGUUGCCAACGAGUGGCGGACGGGUGAGUAACACGUAGGUAACCCGCCCAGAAGCGGGGGACAACAUUUGGAAACAGAUGCUAAUACCGCAUAACAGCGUUGUUCGCAUGAACAACGCUUAAAAGAUGGCUUCUCGCUAUCACUUCUGGAUGGACCUGCGGUGCAUUAGCUUGUUGGUGGGGUAACGGCCUACCAAGGCGAUGAUGCAUAGCCGAGUUGAGAGACUGAUCGGCCACAAUGGGACUGAGACACGGCCCAUACUCCUACGGGAGGCAGCAGUAGGGAAUCUUCCACAAUGGGCGCAAGCCUGAUGGAGCAACACCGCGUGAGUGAAGAAGGGUUUCGGCUCGUAAAGCUCUGUUGUUAAAGAAGAACACGUAUGAGAGUAACUGUUCAUACGUUGACGGUAUUUAACCAGAAAGUCACGGCUAACUACGUGCCAGCAGCCGCGGUAAUACGUAGGUGGCAAGCGUUAUCCGGAUUUAUUGGGCGUAAAGAGAGUGCAGGCGGUUUUCUAAGUCUGAUGUGAAAGCCUUCGGCUUAACCGGAGAAGUGCAUCGGAAACUGGAUAACUUGAGUGCAGAAGAGGGUAGUGGAACUCCAUGUGUAGCGGUGGAAUGCGUAGAUAUAUGGAAGAACACCAGUGGCGAAGGCGGCUACCUGGUCUGCAACUGACGCUGAGACUCGAAAGCAUGGGUAGCGAACAGGAUUAGAUACCCUGGUAGUCCAUGCCGUAAAA